AUAAAAAUAAAUAGUGCUGUAUUUUGGAGUUUAGAACCAAAUUGAAUGAGGGGAAAUAGGUGCAAGUCCUAUGCGGUCCCGCCACUGUAAAGCCAGGCUACCUCUACAGUAUUGGAAUUUAAGCG
rnacentral:ncRNA from 23 species